rnacentral:rRNA from 1 species
UACGUAGGGGGCUAGCGUUGUCCGGAAUCAUUGGGCGUAAAGCGCGUGUAGGCGGUCCGGUAAGUCCGCUGUGAAAGUCGAGGGCUCAACCCUCGAGUGCCGGUGGAUACUGUCGGGCUUGAGUACGGGAGAGGCGAGUGGAAUUCCUGGUGUAGCGGUGAAAUGCGCAGAUAUCAGGAGGAACACCGAUUGCGAAGGCAGCUCGCUGGAACGUUACUGACGCUGAGACGCGAAAGCGUGGGGAGCAAACAGG